AUGAGCUUACCAUUCUGGGUUCAUCUGUGGCUUCAACUUUGCAGACGCUGUAAAUGUCGCUCCCCUGGACUGGCUGCCCAUGGACAAUGUGCUGUUGAGCUUACAAAGAUCAGCGACGCAAGACAUCAAUAUCACUUGACAAAUUAUUGCUCACAAAUGCACAAGCAGCUCUCAUACAUGGAUGAACCUUCACAACUGCAAGAGUGGUCAGAAGGAACAUAUAUAUGGCUGGAUACCUGUGGAAAAAAUGGAGUGCUCACAAGUGCAAUUAAGGUUCAUGUGAAAUGGACAGAGAAUCUGUGUGGCACCAGUACAGUAUGGAGGAGCUAA
rnacentral:rRNA from 1 species